ensembl:lncRNA
UAAAGAUAUAGUAGCAUGUUUAAGUAAGAUUGAUUUUUAGCCUGCACUGAUUUACUCACAAUCUCCUUUUUGUUUACUUUGUGUUCAUUUUCAGGACUUUUUGUAUUUUUGACCUUUGAAGAUGGAUACACAGCAAAGAUUUUUAAUCUCUGUGAUAUACUAAACAAAGAUGAUAAACCCAUCGCUUGCUUUAGAUAUCUGACACCAGGAGAAGAAGUACUUGCAAGAUGGUCUGACAAUAAGUUCUACAAAGCUACAGUAGACUUCACUGGAACAGCUGACAAAACGGUGGAUACCAAGAAGGCGACAAAGAAGGACAUGAAAAAAAGAGAUGCAGCUGCAAAAAGAUUCUACAACCUUCCAUUCCUAGCUCAAGCAGGCCAGUCCACCUCUGCACAGGAUCACCUAAAUACUGUGGACCAAAAUGUCAUUCAGCCUCCAACAACCUGGCCAGUGUACCAGCCUCCACCUACAGAGUCAUUUCUACCUGUCCAGCCACAGCACCAGCAUGCAACUGCCUGGCCACAGUACCAACUUCCAGUUUCCCAGUCAUCACCAAAUACGCCACAACAUUACCAGCAUUCACCAGUCCAGUCGCUCAACCAGUAUGGAACUACUCUGUCUCCAAUUCCACACAAUUCCAGCCUUUUGCAGUAUUCAAAGCAUCACCAGCCUCACACAGCACUACCCACACCUUCAGACCAAACACAACAGCAGCCUGUUUUGGCAGAUUUGGAUCAGCGAAGACAGCCACCAGCUCCUACAGCCAAAGAAAGCUUCCUCAAAAUGUUGCACAGUCCUAAUACACAUCAAAAACCUGCUGUUCUUGGGGACCAGAGCCAGACAAGCACCUCUGAACAUGAGACUUUAAGCUCAUCUGCAGAUACUUUAAUCAUCGAGCGUGAUCCAAUUCCAGAAUAUGGAGAACCAUGUUUCAUUUCGCCUGAGUCAGCAGAAGACAGAUCAUGGAAGCCAUGCGAAGCAUGCAAGACAGAGGUGGAAAAAUUAGUGGAGGAAAAGGCCAAACUGCAUGAUGUGCUGUGUGGUAUAAGUAAGUAUGUUUUGUC